rnacentral:snRNA from 1 species
UUUCAAGAUUGCAGCAAUCA